AGAGUUUGAUCCUGGCUCAGAACGAACGCUGGCGGCGUGCCUAACACAUGCAAGUCGAGCGGUCCAUGGGUUUCGGCUCAUGGGUAGCGGCAGACGGGUGAGUAACACGUGGGUAACCUGUCCUUGGGUGGGGGAUAACUACUCGAAAGGGUGGCUAAUACCGCAUAAGACCACGGCCUUGCGGGGCUGCGGUCAAAGGAGCAAUUCGCCUGAGGAGGGGCCCGCGGCCGAUUAGCUAGUUGGUGGGGUAACGGCUCACCAAGGCGACGAUCGGUAGCUGGUCUGAGAGGAUGAUCAGCCACACUGGUACUGAGACACGGACCAGACUCCUACGGGAGGCAGCAGUGGGGAAUAUUGCGCAAUGGGCGAAAGCCUGACGCAGCAACGCCGCGUGGGUGAUGAAGGCCUUCGGGUCGUAAAGCCCUGUCAGAUGGGACGAACCACCCCGCAAGGGGCCUGACGGUACCAUCGAAGGAAGCACCGGCUAACUCCGUGCCAGCAGCCGCGGUAAUACGGAGGGUGCAAGCGUUGUUCGGAAUCACUGGGCGUAAAGGGCGCGUAGGCGGCUUCAUCAGUCCGAUGUGAAAGCCCGGGGCUCAACCCCGGAAGUGCAUUGGAAACUGUGAGGCUUGAGUUCGGGAGGGGAAGGCAGAAUUCCCGGUGUAGGGUUGAAAUCCGUAGAUAUCGGGAGGAAAACCGGUGGCGAAGGCGGCCUUCUGGAACGAAACUGACGCUGAGGCGCGAAAGCGUGGGGAGCAAACAGGAUUAGAGACCCUGGUAGUCCACGCUGUAAACGAUGGAUGCUGGGUGUGGGUGACAAUACGGUCAUCCGUGCCGAAGCUAACGCAUUAAGCAUCCCGCCUGGGGAGUACGGUCGCAAGACUAAAACUCAAAGGAAUUGACGG
rnacentral:rRNA from 1 species